ensembl:lncRNA
ACAGGCAUAAAAUAUUAAGAUUUACAUUCCUGCGUGCCUCAAAUCCUCUUUCAUUUGAACACACAAUUCCCAGACAGCUAUAGUACUUAUAUACUUCAGAGGUGCGAAAAACAAGCUGGUGUAAAAAGUUGGAAUAAAAUGUAGCUCUUUAGAUCAAAGAACAAACAUGUUUGAGAACGCAAUUUCAGUAAUUAUGUCUUGACUGAGGAUUCAAGCAGAAAGUGUGGUGAGCCUGUUUUGACAUUCUCAUGUCAUGUGAUAUUUGAUGUCUCUACUCUAUCCAAGUGAAACCUAUGCUUCCAGAUAUGCUUUCUGUAGAAUCACAAGAUGCAUUUAAUUCUAAGGUUUUUUUUUUUUUUUGUUUUUUUUUUUCUCAUUUUCCUCUUGACAAUACCCCACAGAUUCUCUCUGGGGUUCAGGUCUGGUGAGUUUGAUGGCCAGUGUAAGGGAAACAGGUCAAUUUAGCUCAAAGGGAAUCAUUUAAGAUUUUAAAGGGAAUUUGAACAGAAUCACUGUUUCACGGCUGAUCACUGAAACGGCCAGCGAUUCACUGAACGAGCCGUUUAACAUCAAAUCUGCGCUGGAUAUUAAUAUCCAAAGUAUAGUGAAAACACUAUUAAUUAGCACAGUAACAAGAUCGGCAGUUUAAGACAUUAACUUGUGAACACAAAACACAAGAUACUUCUCUUUUCAAUAUAAAUAAGGCUUUAUUAGAUAAAUCUAAGACAUAUAAACUAAUCUAACACAUAAGCACACGCACUCACACAUUCACACAAGUUGCAGGAGGAUAGAACGUUAGGAAAGAGUGAGUUUAAGAGAAUGAAAAUGUGAAAUCCCAAGUUUACAGCAAUACGUGAAAUUGCAUAGACAUGAACAACCAUUUAAUCACUUAAUUAACCCUCGCACUGAGUUCCUCAAUGAGGUUAAAAUUAUAUUAGAUAACACCAGUACAGAUGUGAGUCUGGAGGUUACUUGCGUUGCCUGUUUAACGGGGUUCCCUUUUGUUGUCGCUGAAAAGGGGGUUUCCCGAAGUUGCUGAUUGGCUGGAAGUUCAGUACUCGUUGAAGUGACGUCUUGGGAAGCCCGUGGUUGGGCGUUGGCUGAAGAUGCGGAGUUGUGGGCUGGCUGAAGUUGAACGGGCACUCGAGGUCAGACUCGGAGACACGGCGUUACAAAACUUAACUCAGAACACGAAACUCUCAAACGGAAAAGAAAAGAAGUAAAGUUUGACGAGACUAGGUGGUGUUUCUUCUCAUCGUGGCUAAGUAGCAGCAGGCGUGCAGGCCGAAGCACGCUGGAACGGCACUCGAAGAACGCUAAAAGUGAUGACAAAGCAUGACUAAAAGCUAAACUACAAGCAAAGCUAAAAGCCGGCAUGACUGAUAGCAAAAGCUUGACAAAAGCUAAAAACUAAAAGCAAAAUUUGAUGGUGUCCUGAGUAUUUAAACUGGCCUUUUGGCCACACCUCAAAUGUUGUCUUGACCAAUUAGAUAUUGUCUUUUCUCUGGGUGUUGCAUUGUUUGUCCCACCCAUUCAUAAAUCAUAUGUUAUCUUAUCAAGCUCGUGGUCCGAAUUUUCCCGCUCUUUCAGGGUAUAAUUUGGACAUGAUUCCUAUAACAAGAAUAUGAUACAUUUGACAAAUAACUGAUGGUCAGAAACGUUUCAAGCAAGAAUAUUCGAACACACACAUACUAAACAUGAAUAUGAUCCCUUAAGCUAUUCAAGAGUUAUUUAAAAAGACAUACACAAUAAGUGAUUAGAAACAUUAAAGUCAAAUGUGUGGGUUACAUGUAUGAUAUGGAGUUGAGCAAUGGACUGAUAUCCAUUUAGAAGUCUUUUUUGAGUUCAUUUUGGUGCAUAUAUGCAUUGGAAGGCAUUCUCUGUGCCAUUCUGGGGAGUAAGGAUAUGUCCUGUGGAGACCAGAGGGGUUAACAGGUCUCCUUAGGAAUUUCAGUCUGGUUUUGCUAGGUGGGGGGAAGUCAAUCCAACGAUCUUGUUUAAUCUCAUGGCUUUACAUGGGAGGUUUAGACUGUCCAUUUCUUCGAUUACUUGCCCCAAAUUAGACAAUCUCUUCUUCGAAUUGAAAUUGUCAAUAAUUGUUCCAAUGGUGUUAAUGUUGAAAGCUGUUCUCUGAAAGAGUUGGUUGGUUAUCAGAUUGUGGUGCUGGGAGUUGAUUUACAACAUCCUGCCUUUCUGUGGAAUUCGGCUCAUGUUUCAACCAGGCUCCCGAUCGAAUCUUUAAUUUGUCUGGUUCACGCUACACCAGUCAAGCACACCAACGCCAUGGUCAUUUAACCAACUUUUGGUGCUUUUGGCAGUGUAGGCAGGUGCCAAAUCCUGCUGGAAAAUGAAAUCAGCAUCUUCAAAAAGCUGGUCAGCAGAAUGAAGCAUGAAGUGAUCUAAAAUUUCUUGGUAAACGGGUGCAGUGACUUUGGUUUUCAAAAAACACAAUGGACCAACACCAGCAGAUGACAUUGUACCCCAAAUCAUCACAGACUGUGGAAACUUAACACUGGACUUCAAGCAACUUGGGCUGAGCUUCUCCACCUUUACUUCAGACUCUAGGACCUUGGUUUCCAAAUGAAAUACAAAACUUGCUCUCAUCUGAAAAGAGGACUUUGAACCACUGGGCAACAGUCCAGUUCUUCUUCUCCUUA